rnacentral:rRNA from 1 species
UACGGAGGGAGCUAGCGUUAUUCGGAAUUACUGGGCGUAAAGCGUGCGCAGGCGGUUUUGUAAGUCUGACGUGAAAUCCCCGGGCUCAACCUGGGAAUUGCGUUGGAGACUGCAAGGCUAGAAUCUGGCAGAGGGGGGUAGAAUUCCACGUGUAGCAGUGAAAUGCGUAGAGAUCGUAAGGAAGACCAGUGGCGAAGGCGAGUCUCUGGACAGUUACUGACGCUGAGGCACGAAGGCCAGGGGAGCAAACAGG